rnacentral:RNase_P_RNA from 1 species
GGAGAAGGAGAGGCAGCCGCUUUCUAUAAGCACAGUAUGCUUAUAGGAAGAGGAAAGUCCGGGCUCCACGGAGAAGGGUGCUUCGUAACACGAAGUGGGGGCAACCCCAAGGAAAGUGCCACAGAAAAUAUACCGCCGCAUAUAUUGUGCGGUAAGGGUGAAAAGGUGAGGUAAGAGCUCACCAGUGUUUCAGGCGACUGAAACAGCUUGGCAAACCCCACCCGGAGAAAGGCCAAGUAGGAAGCAGAUGGGAUUCUCCGCCCAAUAGCUUUUGCUAACUGCUUCGGGUAGGCCGAUAGAACUUAAUGGCAACAUUAAGUCAAGAUAGAUGGCUGCAAUGCCUCAAUGGCAUAACAGAACCCGGCUUAUCUCCUUCUCUCUUU